CUGCCAGACGCACACAGCCUUUCUUGUUUUUCUUCGCUUGCAUUAACUGCUUGUGAAUGGCCAGUCCUUUGCCAAUGAUGGCUGGAAUGGCUUUCACUACAGUUACAACAAUGGUUGCCAUAGCUACAAUGAGCCAGAUCAUUUGGCUGAGCAUAGCAAUAAGAGCCGGCUCUUUCGACAAAUAUAAAGCCGCUUCUCAGUUGCAUCCAUUCUCUGGACAUUCAGAAGAGAGAAUAGAACUGAAAGAGUACCCCAGCGUGGUGGGAGGGAGCGUGUCUUGACGGCUGAACAGGAGACUGCAAUAGUCAACAUGGUUCUGGAAAAUGAUGCUAACAACAAGCAAAUACAAAGUGUUGUUGACUGCACUGGCCUAUUUUCUAUUGUUUGUUCUGUGCAAAUCAUUUACACAUCUAGUUGUGUUUACUGUGAUGUAUAAGCUACAGCACUUUUAGAAAAAAGAAAUAAAUAUUUUUGUUGU